AGUGAACGCUGGCGGUAGGCCUAACACAUGCAAGUCGAACGGCAGCACAGUAAGAGCUUGCUCUUACGGGUGGCGAGUGGCGGACGGGUGAGGAAUACAUCGGAAUCUACUUUUUCGUGGGGGAUAACGUAGGGAAACUUACGCUAAUACCGCAUACGACCUACGGGUGAAAGCAGGGGAUCUUCGGACCUUGCGCGAUUGAAUGAGCCGAUGUCGGAUUAGCUAGUUGGCGGGGUAAAGGCCACCAAGGCGACGAUCCGUAGCUGGUCUGAGAGGAUGAUCAGCCACACUGGAACUGAGACACGGUCCAGACGCCUACGGGAGGCAGCAGUGGGGAAUAUUGGACAAUGGGCGCAAGCCUGAUCCAGCCAUACCGCGUGGGUGAAGAAGGCCUUCGGGUUGUAAAGCCCUUUUGUUGGGAAAGAAAAGCAGCAGGUUAAUACCCCGCUGUUCUGACGGUACCCAAAGAAUAAGCACCGGCUAACUUCGUG
rnacentral:rRNA from 1 species